rnacentral:lncRNA from 1 species
ACCCGACUUCAGAAUUUAAAAAUUAUACAAAUUUGACUCUCAUAUAAGUUAACCCCCAACUUUCAAGUAUUAGAACAACAUUACAUUCUUUGAAAUAAAUAGAUAAUUUCUCAAAUAAUUCAGCAACCAUUUUAAGCAGGCAUAAUAAAAUUUAUUAUUAAUAAAUACAAGUACUGUUGGAUUUAUGAUUGGAUUCAAACUAAACCUCCACCUUUAAGUCAGAGCAACUGAAAUGACCAAAAUUUAUGGAUUACGUACUACCAAUAUUUAUAUUACAUUCUGCUUUUAUCAUAAUAAACUUAACAUGAACAAAAAUACAAGAACCAGACACAAAAAGGAUACUUUCUGUAUAUUAAAUCAUUGCUCAUGGAUUCAAACUCAUGUGAAUUGUAUUGACCAAGCACAGAAUUUAUAUAUUAUAUCAUCAUUGAAGUAUGAGUUUUCUUAAGAACUUUACAACAUUUUUGGCUUCUCUGAGGAAGGCCCUAGAAAGACAAAAAUGUAUCUGGCUUAUUAUUAGUAAAUGCAUAUUUACUAAUAAUUUUAGUAUUUCUGUUUAUAGUGCUUGUUGAAUUAUUUGUGUUAUUUUAUGAGCAGCAAACUUGAAAAGUUUAAGAUUGGAGAUAAUUUCUUUUAUAAUUUAAAAAAUUUUCCAAAUCCAGUUCACUAUUAAAAUAAACAUGAUUGCAUUGACAAAAUUCCAGACUUUAUAGCAUUGAAACAUUGCAACACAACAUGAAGACAAAAAUGGGAUAGAGAGCAAGAUGCAAUCAUGGUACAUUCUGUAACAUAUCUCUGCAAAAUGAUUUUAUUGAAGUUCCUGUUUGAUAGAAAAUAUCAAAAGUUUCAGUCAUUUCUGAAUCUCAAUAAAAAUAAUUAUCAAAAUCUAAAUGAUAAAAAUCAGAACCAAAACAUUUAAUGGAAAUUUUAUUGUAAUUGACAAGAGUAGAAAACUGACCUGUGUGUACAUGAUUACCAGGAGGACAAAUCUGAUGUCCAAAAUUGACUGUAAAAUAAUUGUUUCUUAUUUUCUAAAUGAUCAGAACUAUCAGGAAAGGCACAAAUUGUUGAUUGGAAAUAUCAGGACAUAAAUUAUUAUACUUUCAUUUAACAUUAGCUGAUAAUACAUACAGUUACCAUGAUAUUUAUUUGCUAAAAAAGUCACUUUACAUAUAUCUUAUUUGUGAAGCAUCCAACAAAUUAAUAUAUUUAUAUGUAUUAAAUAUAAACAUUUACCUACAUUCACAUGUUUUUAAUAAUAGAAUUGAGAAAAAUGGAUAUUUUGUAGAAAGAAAUAUAAUGAAUCCU